CGAAGUCUCCUUCCUCUAUAUAAACACACUGAAGAACUAGAAUCUAGGGUUUUCUGGUAUACGCGUUGCCGCUGCGGAGUGUGAGUAGCUUUUUGCGAGGGAGUUUGGACUCGGCGAUUUGAAAUGGUGAAGGGACGCCAAGGAGAGCGAGUCAGGCUUUAUGUACGGGGAACAGUCUUGGGUUAUAAGAGGUCUAAGUCCAACCAAUAUCCCAACACGUCACUGAUCCAGAUUGAGGGCGUCAACACAAAAGAAGAGGUUGCAUGGUAUGCUGGGAAGCGGAUGGCAUACAUCUACAAGGCCAAGGUGAAAAGGGAUGGAUCCCAUUAUCGCUGCAUUUGGGGCAAGGUCACCAGGCCCCAUGGUAACAGCGGUGUAGUGAGAGCCAAGUUCAAAUCCAAUCUGCCUCCAAAGUCAAUGGGAGCUCGAGUACGGGUUUUCAUGUACCCCAGCAAUAUCUGAGGAUACAGUUGUGACUGUAAUACUGACAGCUUGGCGUAUGCAAUUGUUUUGGAUAGUUUAACAUCGGGUUUACUUCAUGGCCAAUCAGUUACUCAGGAUUUUUGUAGCUGGCAGAGAGGAUUUUUGUAGUCAUUUAAACCAGGGACUUUUGUAUCAGUCGGUGUUUUCCACCAAUUUGUUCUUCAAUUGCUUGAGUGACCACCUUUUCCUUAAUUUAAAAAUAGUUUUUUUUGUUUUAUUUUCCGUUAAUUUAAACAAGUAUUUUUAUAUGAACUCAUCUUUCUUCGAAAUAUUGAUUGGCUUGUAUACAACUUAUUUGUGGGGAUUUUCCAUAAUUUCCACUGGAUUUCCCAAGAUGAAGUUCAUUCUUGAUUUUUUUA